GUAGGGAAUAUUGCGCAAUGGACGAAAGUCUGACGCAGCGACGCCGCGUGAGUGAUGAAGGCCUUAGGGUCGUAAAGCUCUGUUGAAUGGGAAGAAAAAAAUGACGGUACCAUUCGAGGAAGGACCGGCUAACUUCGUGCCAGCAGCCGCGGUAAUACGAGGGGUCCUAGCGUUGUUCGGAAUCAUUGGGCGUAAAGGGUGUGUAGGUGGCCAUGUAAGUCAGGUGUGAAAGCCCCGGGCUCAAACCGGGAAGUGCACUUGAUACUGCGUGGCUUGAGUACCGAAGAGGGUAGUGGAAUUCCAGGUGUAGUGGUGAAAUACGUAGAUAUCUGGAGGAACACCGGUGGCGAAGGCGGCUACCUGGUCGAGUACUGACACUGAGACACGAAAGCAUGGGGAUCAAACAGGAUUAGAUACCCUGGUAGUCC
rnacentral:rRNA from 1 species